rnacentral:rRNA from 1 species
CAGCGAUGCCGCGUGAGUGAAGAAGGCCUUUGGGUUGUAAAGCUCUUUCGUCGGGGAAGAAAAUGACUGUACCCGAAUAAGAAGGUCCGGCUAACUUCGUGCCAGCAGCCGCGGUAAUACGAAGGGACCUAGCGUAGUUCGGAAUUACUGGGCUUAAAGAGUUCGUAGGUGGUUAAAAAAGUUGGUGGUGAAAUCCCAGAGCUUAACUCUGGAACUGCCAUCAAAACUUUUUAGCUAGAGUAUGAUAGAGGAAAGCAGAAUUUCUAGUGUAGAGGUGAAAUUCGUAGAUAUUAGAAAGAAUACCAAUUGCGAAGGCAGCUUUCUGGAUCAUUACUGACACUGAGGAACGAAAGCAUGGGUAGCGAAGAGGAUUAGAUACCCUCGUAGUCCAUGCCGUAAACGAUGUGUGUUAGACGUUGGAAAUUUAUUUU